rnacentral:rRNA from 1 species
ACACGUAGGUAACCUACCCUCAGGACUGAGAUAACCCCGGGAAACUGGGGCUAAUAUUAGAUAGAUAAAAGAUACUGGAAUGUUCUUUUAUCCAAAGCUUUUGCACCUGAGGAUGGGCCUGCGUCCGAUUAGGUUGUUGGUGGGGUAAUGGCCCACCAAGCCUACGAUCGGUACGGGCAGUGAGAGCUGAAGCCCGGAGUUGGGGACUGAGACAAGGCCCCAGGCCCUACGGGGCGCAGCAGGCGCGAAACCUCUGCAAUGCGGGAAACCGUGACAGGGGGAUCCCAAGUGCUCAUGCAUUGCAUGGGCUGUUCUUUGGUCUAAGUAACCAGAGGAGUAAGAGCUGGGCAAGACCGGUGCCAGCCGCCGCGGUAAUACCGGCAGCUCAAGUGGUAGCCGCGAUUAUUGGGCCUAAAGCGUUCGUAGCCGGAUAAGUAAGUCUUUGGUUAAAUCCUGCGACUUAACCGUGGGAAAUCUAGAGAUACUGCUUGUCUUGAGACCGGGAGAGGUUGGAGGUACUCC